GCAAGAUACUAUGGUUGAAAUCCUUACUUGAUAUCUUGAAGAUCCUUGAAGUCAGAUUUUAUUCCUUCUUAUAUUAAAAUUCAAAAGAGUCAACAUUAAAUUAAGCAAUAAUGUAUUAAUAAACAAUCACCUUUCUUUAAUGUUUAUUCAUUUCGUUCGUGUAUAUUUAAGAAAUUAAGAAAUGAAAACUGUAACUGUACUAAGUUCAAUUUUCGUAUCGUUUAUAUGCCUUACGGAAAACCGACCUUUUCCGGAAUCGACUUUUGUUUUAUCACCGGAAAUGAUUUUGAAAUUUGAAUUUCGAAACGAAGACAGGAUAUCAACAAAGAGAGCCAAGAAAAUUGUUUGUUACGCGAUAUAUACUCACUUGGAGCUAAAAGAAAAGCCACAAUGGACAAGUUCAAUAUGCAGGUUUACAAUUUGGAAGUGGCGCAGGUUCUUUAGAAUGUACAACCUUUCAGGAGAAUUUUUUUUUGAAAAGCAUGGCACAGCAAGAAAAAGAUAUGACACUACA